GGAUUCAACUCUUGCACUUAUUUCAUCUGAUCUUCGAGAGAGACACUGAGGAAGAAUUCUUGGUCUGACAAGUAAGGACAAGAAAAUGGACAGAAAAUAUUUGGUUUCUAUCUUCGUGGUUUUGGUUCUAUUUUCGGUGUUUGAAUGUAAUGAGGCGCUAAGCAGUGGCCUUAUCUUGAAGGGUGGAAGAAAGAGAACUUAUGGAUCGUUAGAGUACGAGAAGGAGAUAGCAAACCAAGCGAUCCAAGAUAUAUGUGCGAUCGCAAGAAAACUGGAGUGUGAAGAAAAGUAACCAAACGAGUCCUCCACAAAUCGCAUCAAAAAUGAAAAACUCUAGAAUCUAGAAAAAUAUUAUAUUUGUCUAUUAUCAAAUAUAUUGUAAAAAUGUGUUGUAAAAAAAGUCCAAGGGUUCAUUUUAUAGUGAAUCUGUGUUAUGGAGUCUAUAGUUGAUAAAUAAAAUCUGAGUUCAGUCAUU